UAUAAGUGCAGUUGUGGUUUUUCAUAUCCAACGUUUGACCGUACGUAUUAUUUGAAAAAAAAUAUGAUUAGUAUUUUUAUUGUUAUUAGAUGAUAAAACAUGUGUGACUAAUUUUUUUAAAAAAAUUUCAUAAAAUUUUAGAAUAAAACGGACGGUCAAACUUUGGAUACAGAAACACACAACUGCACUUAUA
rfam:Oryza sativa Japonica Group DNA, chromosome 1, cultivar: Nipponbare, complete sequence.